ACGUGGGUCGAGCAAAUCUUGCUCGGCUCAUCCCACUUUGAUGUUAAUGCUGUUAGACUUAGCAAGUUUGAAUGAUUACCAUGCCUGAUUAGAUGAAUGAAGCAAAGUUGUAGAUUCAUGAAUUUAGUAUCAACUUCACCUAGGAAUCACACAAAUAGGGAAUUGUGGUAUUCUUUGUACCCCCACGAGACGAGCUGAAGCCACGUUGAAGCCCAAGUGUGCACCACAUGGGACAGUCAAAGUCAGAUCCAGAGACAAGUGCUACUUGCUGGGGGAGACCAACAAGAAACUAAAUACAGAACGGUUUAUAACAAACCCCCGUACUUGAAAAGCAAAACCAGUUUUGCUAUUGGGCAAACGACUGAAAUCUAUGAAUCCUUACGCAGUAAUACGCUCGAUGCUGUAGCCGUUUGAUCUGUUCUUUGAUUCAGCGGAUCUCCCCUUUUUUUGGGGAAAGCUCUGUUGUGCAGAAAGUUAAAUGGCCCACUCCCUCAUCUAAUGGAAAUAAAAUGCUACGAGUUGGUUACCUCAAAUCAGGCAGAGCAUGUGCUUGCGCAAGUGGACUGAUUGUUCUAGAUCGUAUCGUCAGAAUUAUUGGUAGGUGGUACCAUCUGAUCACUAGUAGGAGCAUAAUGAUUGGUGGAAAGCAGAGUAUCUGCAUGUAACAUUGUAAAUCCUACAAAAAAAAAAAUUGAAAAUUUUCAACGUGACAAUGCUAGCUAAGCAUAAUGUGACCAUCGGUAAGCGACGUCCAGCUUUCCUCCUGUCUAUUUUAUUGGCUCAUGUCACAGGCUCAUACAGUCUAGCUAGUAGCUAGCUGUCUUCGUACGCCAUCGCGGCCAAGUCAGACCAAACUUCACACAACAAGACACUAGGCAUCUGGCAGCUGGGAACAAAUAUAUGCACACACAUCCGAUCCAUACAUGUGCAAAAGGAACCUUGGAGCUCUAGCAUGUUUUCGGCAGCUGCACUCCCUUCCUUUGUCGAUACAGUCGCUGCACUCCCCUCCUCCGUAUCAACGGCUACCAUGUCAGUCUCCUGUAUCAACAUCUAGACAUACCACAUCUCACAGUGAGUCCUUUAUCUAUUUCACCCAUUUAGAGAUGCAAGUGAGUAUCCAACAGUAGUUUGGAUCACCAUUUUAGUUCGUUUAUUUUUCUCAACUUAAAUAAGUAUAUGUACAUCUUUAAUUUAAAUGAGUAAGUUCUGGAUGAUCCAAUGAAAAAAAAAAACUAAACUUGCAUCCCUACACCCACCGCUACACACAUUUGUCUUUGUCAUGUCACUAGUGCCACCCAUCGCUGGGAAUCGAGCCAGCUGCACUGGAAGCGCCAUCGUUGCCUCGCCCUCAACCUAUGCCAUCGAAUAUGGUUGAUCAAGUGUAACUUUUUUUUUAGAUGACCUCUAAAGCUACUUGCGACCAGCAUCUAUCUGCAUUAUUUGAUAAGCCAAAAAUAUAAAACCAGGGCGCGAAGCAGACAGCCCAACGUUACCCUGGCCCACCUGCAGCUGCAGGUCGCCAUCGGGCCCACCUCCCGACACCUCAUAUCUACACGCCCAUC